AACGAACGCUGGCGGCAUGCCUAACACAUGCAAGUCGAACGAGACCUUCGGGUCUAGUGGCGCACGGGUGCGUAACGCGUGGGAACCUGCCCUUAGGUUAGGAAUAACUCCCCGAAAGGGGUGCUAAUACCGGAUAAUGUCUUCGGACCAAAGAUUUAUCGCCUUUGGAUGGGCCCGCGUUGGAUUAGCUAGUUGGUAGGGUAAAAGCCUACCAAGGCGACGAUCCAUAGCUGGUCUGAGAGGAUGAUCAGCCACACUGGGACUGAGACACGGCCCAGACUCCUACGGGAGGCAGCAGUGGGGAAUAUUGGACAAUGGGCGAAAGCCUGAUCCAGCAAUGCCGCGUGAGUGAUGAAGGCCUUAGGGUUGUAAAGCUCUUUUACCCGGGAUGAUAAUGACAGUACCGGGAGAAUAAGCUCCGGCUAACUCCGUG
rnacentral:rRNA from 1 species